ensembl:lncRNA
UCCAAGGGUCCUUCAAAUGCGGCCUACGAAUGCAGCCUUCUUUUCCCGGAUUUGAAGGAUGCAUCGGCUGUAUCCUUCACGGCCCAACGUAUCCCAAGAUCCUUCACGGCCCAACGUAUCCCUCCCAAGAUUCAUUGCGUACUCAAUCAUUGGAGAUGGCGGAGAAUGGCGAUUUAAGUUCUGCAUUUAAAUGGAGCCAGCAGCAUACUGCUCGAUUUAUUCUAUUGAGGGGGGAGAACGAUGAGCUGUUCACCGGGGUGAAAUACUCAGCAAGUGUGGCUUGGGGGUGGCGUCAUGAAUGUGUUUGAAUGUUCUGUGUGUGUUAAAUAAAAGGG